GGGGAUAUAGCUCAGUUGGUAGAGUGAUUGCCUAGCACGCAUGAAGCCUGGGUUCAGUCCCCAGUGCCA
rnacentral:tRNA from 1 species